UACGUAGGGGGCAAGCGUUGUCCGGAAUUAUUGGGCGUAAAGAGCGUGUAGGCGGCCAGAUAAGUCCGCUGUGAAAUCUCGAGGCUCAACUUCGAGCUGUCGGUGGAAACUAUGUGGCUAGAGUCCGGAAGAGGAGAAUGGAAUUCCUGGUGUAGCGGUGAAAUGCGCAGAUAUCAGGAAGAACACCCGUGGCGAAGGCGGUUCUCUGGGACGGUACUGACGCUGAGACGCGAAAGCGUGGGGAGCGAACAGG
rnacentral:rRNA from 1 species